rnacentral:lncRNA from 1 species
AGGGGACACGGGGAGCCCCCAAAGGCCCCGCGGUGCCCCCCACCUUGCAGACGGACAUCUGGUUGGUGGUGAGGGUCCCGGUUUUGUCGGAGCAGAUGACCGAGGUGCAGCCCAGGGUCUCGACGGAGGGGAGGCUGCGCACGAUGGCGUUCUUCUUGGCCAUGCGCCGCGUCCCCAGCGCCAGGCAGGUGGUGAUGACGGCCACGCAGAUGAGCGAGAUGACCUUGGAGAGCUGCUCGCCGAACUCGUCCAGCUUCUGCUGCAGCGGCGUCUUGUCCUGCUCCGUGGCCGCCAUCUCGUCGCGGAUCUUGCCGAUCUCCGUGUUCACCCCCGUGGCCACCACGAUGCCCACCGCCUUGCCCGCGCCGAUGUUGGUGCCCUGGGGACAGGGGGUUGGGGGCAUGGUGGGCUUGGGGACAUCGUGGUGGGGAUGUGGUGGGCUUGGGGACAAGGCCUUGGGGACAUGGUGGCCUUGGGGACACGGUGGCCCUGGGGACAAGGCCCUGGGGACAUGGCGAUGGUGGCCUUGGGAACCCAGUUAUGGGGUUGGUGGCCUUGGGGACAAGGUCUUGGGGUCCUGGUGGUGGCCCCGGGGUCCCAGUGGUGGCCCCGGGGUCCCGGUGGUGGCCCCGGGGUCCCAGUGGUGGCCU